UCUGAGACUUUCUACUUUAACAGUUUCACAGUCUUUGCCAGUUCUAAGUACCUUGCAGCUGUAUUGCUCGUCUGCUUUGGAGACCACAGUUUCUAACAGACUUUCAACAGAGGACUGUCUUAUUCCACUCUUCGGCGAAGCUUUACGUUCAUGUAAACAGCAUGACGUGAGGCCGUGGAUGCAGGCAUUAAGGUAUACUGUGUACCAGAAUCAGUUGUUGGAGAAAAUUAAAGUAUGAUCUCGUGAAAUCUUGAGAGAAACUGAAUGACGAAUGAAACUAUUGUUCCUGUUUCACACAGAAGAAAACUGAGGUUGGCACUCAUCAUGAGCCCCUGUUCUCAUUCUGCAAAUGGUGAAGCUCUCUAUUGUCCUGACCCCACAGUUCCUGUCCCAUGACCAGGGCCAGCUCACCAAGGAGCUGCAGCAGCAUGUAAAGUCAGUGACAUGCCCAUGCGAGUACCUGAGGAAGGUGAGUGAGUGCAGACAGAUGGGGCCUGGUGCCCUUGAGCAGUUCCCGGGUCUCAGCUGCCACACAUCUCAUAGCCGGUGAUGCUGGGGGAAGCUUACGCAGUCACAGUACUGGCUUCUUCCUCUUUUUCUUUCCAUACAAGUGGCUUAGGGAUGGGGUAGAGUAGUUGACUUAUUUGGAUGAAAACCACUAUCUUCUGUCAGAAACUCAAAAGGA
rnacentral:lncRNA from 1 species